AGACCCGAAACCCGGUGAUCUAGCCAUGGGCAGGUUGAAGGUUGGGUAACACUAACUGGAGGACCGAACCGACUAAUGUUGAAAAAUUAGCGGAUGACCUGUGGCUGGGGGUGAAAGGCCAAUCAAACCGGGAGAUAGCUGGUUCUCCCCGAAAGCUAUUUAGGUAGCGCCUCGUGAAUUCAUCUCCGGGGGUAGAGCACUGUUUCGGCUAGGGGGCCAUCCCGGCUUACCAACCCGAUGCAAACUGCGAAUACCGGAGAAUGUUAUCACGGGAGACACACGGCGGGUGCUAACGUCCGUCGUGAAGAGGGAAACAACCCAGACCGCCAGCUAAGGUCCCAAAGUCAUGGUUAAGUGGGAAACGAUGUGGGAAGGCCCAGACAGCCAGGAUGUUGGCUUAGAAGCAGCCAUCAUUUAAAGAAAGCGUAAUAGCUCACUGGUCGAGUCGGCCUGCGCGGAAGAUGUAACGGGGCUAAACCAUGCACCGAAGCUGCGGCAGCGAACGUAUCACCCAAGACAACUUUACGGAGUUGACGAUUGACGGAGCGAAGCGACGUCAAAGCGUUCAUUAAAGUCGAGUUGGCUUAGGGAUACGUUCGUUGGGUAGGGGAGCGUUCUGUAAGCCUGUGAAGGUGUGUCGUGAGGCAUGCUGGAGGUAUCAGAAGUGCGAAUGCUGACAUAAGUAACGAUAAAGCGGGUGAAAAGCCCGCUCGCCGGAAGACCAAGGGUUCCUGUCCAACGUUAAUCGGGGCAGGGUGAGUCGACCCCUAAGGCGAGGCCGAAAGGCGUAGUCGAUGGGAAACGGGUUAAUAUUCCCGUACUUGGUGUUACUGCGAAGGGGGGACGGAGAAGGCUAUGUUGGCCGGGCGACGGUUGUCCCGGUUUAAGCGUGUAGGUGUGUGUUCCAGGUAAAUCCGGUUCACUUUAACACUGAGGCGUGACGACGAGGCACUACGGUGCUGAAGCAACAAAUGCCCUGCUUCCAGGAAAAGCCUCUAAGCAUCAGGUAACAUCAAAUCGUACCCCAAACCGACACAGGUGGUCAGGUAGAGAAUACCAAGGCGCUUGAGAGAACUCGGGUGAAGGAACUAGGCAAAAUGGUGCCGUAACUUCGGGAGAAGGCACGCUGACACGUAGGUGAAGUGAUUUACUCAUGGAGCUGAAGUCAGUCGAAGAUACCAGCUGGCUGCAACUGUUUAUUAAAAACACAGCACUGUGCAAACACGAAAGUGGACGUAUACGGUGUGACGCCUGCCCGGUGCCGGAAGGUUAAUUGAUGGGGUCAGCGCAAGCGAAGCUCCUGAUC
rnacentral:rRNA from 1 species